rnacentral:lncRNA from 1 species
AGUGGAGGCAUGAGUCAAGAUAGCUCACACAAAAAAGUGAGUGAGGGAGAAGCAGCAUCGAGUAGUCAUUGUGGUUAACAAAUACAGGCCACGGGGACAAGCAUGCUGCAGCUGUUCCAGAGAAAGUGAGGCACAUGCAACAGAAAAGCAGCACUCUCUGGAAGAAUCUGGACAGGAAUUGGAUAUUGAAGUCUUUUCGAAGAGAAGCGCUACCAGCUUGUUCAGUGAAUAAUAAACCUGACUCAUCGCUUCUCCCUUUGGGCUGACCCUCCUCCAUGCUGAUGUUUGUGUGACAUUUACAAGCUAAUUAAGAUCAUCCUGUAAGCAGCACACCACUAAGAGAAUGAUGGAUUUUCUUCCUGCAAAUGAUGACAAGUUGAGUGCAAUUCACCCAGCCUGGCAAAGUCUGUGGCACAUUCUGAGCCACAAUAUGGAAGCCUAAGAGUGCCAGGGACAUCUUUGGUGAGAAUGUGGUUACAUGGGUAAGAAGACAGCCUCUGACUUCUGAAAGAGAAAUGGAGCCAUACUGCCGAACCGGGCAAAGAAA